UUGACGGGAAAUGUAGUUCUUUUUUUUCGGCCGAGGCUACCGUUGUCGAAGGAAGUUUUGUCCCACACAACUACACUACACAUACCACAGCGCUCCUCACAGGCUCAUAAUGUUACUCACAACAUGGCACCUGCAGGCGGGGGUGUUACGCUGGCGGCUAUGUCGCUGCUGAACUUUUGCGGAGCAAUUUUGUCUAGCGAGUAUUUCUCCACUUUGACCUUGUUUAACAGCGAUCUUCAUAAGCACGGCUGCAGCUCUCAGGCUGAGUGGGAGGAGUAUGCGGCGGACUGCGAGUCAUCUAUCCUGCAGCUAGAAGAUCCGGACUGUGAAAAGGGGAGUAACCUGCCCUGCGAGUCCAUCUUCUCACUCAAUGCAGAGAAAAUCCUUAAUCAGGCGAAGUUAUUUGUCGAACAGCGUCGGUUUCCAUUUGCUGUGGAUAACCAAAAUACCAAUGAAGAACUUGCCAUAGGAUAUGUUCUCAUUGGAAAUGGCCUCUAUGAUGAAGCUAUCAAACACUUCUCCUUGCUGCUACAGGGAGAUCCUGAGCUGGUCAGUGCCAUCUAUGGGCGGGGAAUAGCGUAUGGCAAAGAAAGUCUACAGGACAUUAAAAAUGCAGACUUAGCUCUGUAUGAGUUGAGUCGAGUCAUCACUUUGGAGCCCAACAGACCGGAGGUGUAUGAGCAGAGAGCAGAGAUUCUGUCUCCUCUGGGACGCAUCAGUGAAGCUCUGUCUGAUCUGACUAAAGCCAUUCAACUGCAGCCUUCAGCUCGACUUUACAGACACAGAGGGACACUGCUCUUCAUAUCGGAGGAUUAUAUGGCAGCUAUGGAGGAUUUCCAGCAGUCUCUAGAGCUGAAGAAGAAUCAGCCCAUCGCUAUGCUCUAUAAAGGCCUGACCUUAUUCCACAGAGGCCUCCUUAAGGAGGCUAUAGAGGUGUUUAAAGAAGCUCUUAAAUUAAAGACAGACUUCAUAGAUGCAUAUAAGAGCUUGGGCCAAGCUUACAGGGAGCUGGGUGAUUUUGAGAAUGCUAUGGAGAGCUUCCAGAAAGCUCUGAUACUGGAUCAGAACCACAUUCAGUCUCUCCAGCUCAGAGGAAUGUUGCUGUACCAUCAUGGUAGCCUGCAGGAGGCCAUCAGCAACUUUAAGAGAUGUUUGCAUCUGGAGCCCUAUAAUGAAGUGUGUCAGUACAUGAAGGGUCUCAGUCAUGUGGCCAUGGGGCAGUUUUAUGAGGGAAUCAAAUCUCAGACCAAAGUCAUGCUGAACGACCCUCUAAUGGGGCAAAAGGCCAGCUUGGAGUAUCUCAAAGUGAAAUAUCUCAGAGAGUACUCCCGUUAUUUGCACUCUCAUCUGGAUGUACCGGUGGCUGAAUAUAAUGUUGAUCAAGAUUUACCAGGAAACUUUAAGAACCACUGGGCCAAAAACCUUCCCUUCCUCAUCGAAGACUAUGAAGAGCAGCCCGGACUUCAGCCUCAUAUUAAAGACGUUCUACCUCAGAACUUUGAGAGCUACUCUGCAGAUGUUCAGAAGCUCAUCUGUACUGCAGAUCACCUUGGCACGCUGAUGCAGUACGACACAUUAGGCUUCUUACCAAACCUCAGAAUACACAGAGCGAUGGGUUUGGCCACCAUAGAGGUGAUGCAGGCCAUGCAGCGCACCUGGAGUAACUCAAAGGUUCGAGUCAACGGAAAGACCAGACAGCUGCUGUGGAGAGACAUGUUUGACAUCGCAGUGAAAUGGAGAAGGAUUGCAGAUCCAGACCAACCUGUGUUGUGGUUGGAUCAGAUGCCUGCCAGGAGUCUUAGCAGAGGAUUUAACAACCACAUAAACCUCAUCAGAGGGCAGAUCAUCAAUAUCAGAUAUUUGGAAUAUUUUAGUAGCAUUCUAAGCUUUGUAAAGGACAGAAUACUGGUUUAUCAUGGGGCGUAUAACCCGCGAGGUCUUCAGGAAGUGAAGCAGGCUCUGGAGAGUGUGAAUAAAGUGGAAGAUCUACUGCCUAUCAUGAAGCAGUUCAACAGUAAAACCAGAGACGGCUUCACAGUUAACUCAAAAGUGCCCAGUUGGAAGGAUCCUGGAAAAGAAUAUGAUGGUUUCACCAUCACCAUCACAGGAGAUCGAGUGGGCAAUAUUCUGUUUUCAGUGGAGACUCAGACCACAGAUGAUAGGACACAGCAGUAUCAGUCAGAGAUUGAAGCUCUCUACAAAGAUCUCACUGCCAAAGGCAAAGCUCUUAUGCUCUCAACUGAACUAGGGGAUGCAGAUGCAGUGUGUAAUUUAAUUCUGUCUCUGGUGUAUUACUUCUGUAAUCUCAUGCCGCUGUCCAGAGGCUCCAGUGUUGUGUCAUACUCCAUUGUCAUGGGAGCACUGAUGGCCAGCGGGAAAGAGGUGCUGGGCCGAAUGCCAUCUGGGAAGCUGUUUGACUUCGAGGCGAUGACCACAGCCAAUCCUGAUCGCUUCAGUAAGACAGUCAAGAGCUGGAUGAACUUAAAGAGCUGCUAAAAAAGCCCCCAAUGCCAUGUUCACCCGUUGUACAAAGGGGCUCAGUUUGUUCCUGGGAGGCAGCAGAUGCCCUAACCCCACCAUAAUCCUAACCAUAUGGAGCCUGUAUGAUGCACCUCCAUAUGAGUUUGCCGAGUUGGUACCAGAACCUUCCGUCAGUUUCAGAGACGUUCCAGUUCACAAGGACCAUGAUUGAAGUUUUGAACACAGACUCGUCUUCAGACUGUCUGAAGAAAUCUUGAAUUUGAAAUGCCAUCCAGUCAUCAAAAACAUAAAAAAUGGGCCAUCUCUACUCAGGGCAUCUUUGCUCAUUUGUUCUCACUUUUACCUUGGUUGAGUUUUUCCACAUCAAAUUUCAGUAUACCCUUUUUUUUUUUUUUUUUUUUUUUUUUUUUUAAAGCUUUCUCCUUGAAAUAUAUCUAAUAUUUUUAGGUUUAAAAAUUUUAGAUAACAUUUAACAAAUUGUUUCUGCCAUUUAUCAUGUAAUUUAAAGAAAUAGUUCACCCAAAAUUGAAAUUUUUUGUCAUUGUUUACUCUUUCCAAAUCCAAAUGAUAUAAAUUUUUCCAUUAAACACAAAAGGUUAUUUUUAUAAGAAUAUGCUGUUCCAUAUAAUGUAAGUGUUUGGGACUGGGGAUGCCAAGUUUAAAAUGAAAAAGGUAAGUGGAAAAAAGUAUUCCAUACCACUUGUGCUCUAUAUUCCAAAUAUUCUGAAUCCAUAUGAUAGCUUUGUGUGAGGAACAGACAAAACAUUUGAUAAUUUUCCCCUCCACCGAACCUCUAAAAUAGACUACAAAAGUUGUAUGAACUACAAAAGUGGCACAACGAUGCCUGAUGGCACAUUGCACCAUAUUUGAUAUUUAGGGCCCAAGCACUGAAAGUGCGGAGACCCUAAUGUUCUAAGAAUUAUUUUUAUUAUUUUAUUUUUUUCUCAAGGUUUUCUGUACUUUUGGGGUACUUAACAUGCGUGAAAACUUUUGAAAUUUUGCACACACAUUAGAGUCGUCAGCCAUUUGGGGGGUGGGGGGGCUCUGUAGUGCCCCCUUGAAAAUGGGCAUGUAAGAGGGGCUCUGUAGCGCCCCCAUUUUCACCUACAGUCACCAAAAUUGGUACAUAGAUAGUUCUCAUAAAGCAGAACAACUUUCAUACUCCCAGUCAUUAGCUCCACCCAACAGGAAGUCAGCCAUUUUGUUUUUUCUGAAAAUUGUAGGUUCUGAACUUUGAAAUACUCCUCCUAGGGGAUUCAUGUGACUGGCACCAAACUUGUGCAAGUGUCAAGACACAGCUGAUGUAAAAUUGUAAAGGAAUAUUUGAUAUCUUAAAUACUUUUGCCAUGGCAACACAUUCAUUGUUAUUAUUCCUUCCUAUAUUUGGGUGGUUUUGAGGCACUCGGUAUGCUUAAAAUGUCAUGAAAUUUUGCACACACAUCAGAGUUGUGGGCCAGUAAGACUGGGCAAAAGUUCACAUAUAGGCGUGUAGGGGUCUCUGUAGUGCCCGCUUUAAUAUGGGCAUGUAACAGGGUCUCUGUAGCACCCCCAUUUUCACCUGGAGUCACCAAACUUGGUACAUAUAUAGUUCUCAUUAAGCCGGACAACUUUUAUAAUUAUAGUUAUUAGCUCUGCCCAACAGGAAGUCAGACAUUUUGGAUUUGUUUUAAUAUUGCAGUCUCUGAACUUUUAAUACUCCUCCUAGGGGAUUCAUGAGACUAUCACCACAUUUAGAUAAUAUUAUGCCAAGACAUUGAAGAUGCUAAAUUGUGAACAGAUUUUUGAUAUAUUAAACGGUGCUGCCAUGGUGAGGCAUUAAAUUAAUUGGAAACAGGAAGUGUCUUAUAUCUUCUGUGUGCAAUGUGUGAUUUUGAUAAAAAUGUGGAUGUAUGUUUAGUCUUGGGGGCUAAUCACAUGGGUGUGACUAUUUUGGGUCAUGAUCAUAGCGCCAUCACCUGGCAGCAGGAAGCGUGGCUCUUACAACAGUCUUUAAAAUAGUCCUCUUAUAUUUAUCCAGAUUGCUUCAAAAUUGUUUAGAAUAAUGGGAAAUGCAUAUGUCCACCUUGCAUUGUUUUCCAAAAGCCACCGGGUGGAAACGGGCCCAUGGUGCUUGGGCCCGUCAUCACUGCUUGCAGCUAUGUUUCAAUUUGUCAGCAUGAGAAAAGUCAUCUACAAGUUCGUGGAAGGCUUCCUUUUUCAGCUUCAAGAUAAGGUGACGAUUAUACCCAAACAUGAGGUCAACAAUUUACAUCAGGUUACAGAUACAAAGAUUCGGAUUGGCUUAAAUCUAGAUAGGUUGAGUACAUCUCAAAACAUGGUGUCCUGUUCCUAGCAUAUCUCGUGGGUCAUAGAUCAACUAGGUACAGUUCUGAUUUAUUUACUGAGUGACCGGUUCAGAUCAUAAGUCAGCAUUCCUAAGUAAAAGGCCAUCUUAUGGAUGAUCCAUUUGCCCCAUCUGGCCUCCACAGCCCCAUCUUUGGAUGUCAUGUGGUCUCCUUUCUUCUUGACCCUGGAACAAAAUGGUAAUGCAGAACACACAUAUCUCUCUAACUCAAGGUUGUAAGCAGUUGGUUUGGUAAGGUUUAACUUUUCCUAAAACACAUAGAUAAGAUAUACUCCUUAUAAUGGAGCUUGACAUUAUCUUCCCUAAACUCUGUGUCACAAAUGUAGAGUCAGGAAUGCCGAUGACCUGUGUGUGGCCUAAGCAGAGUUGGUGAACAGACAGACAAAAAAAAAAGAAUAUAUAUAUAUAUAUAUAUAUAUAUAUACACACAUAUAAACAGUUGUGCUCAAAAGUUUGCAUACCCUGGCAGAAAUUGUGAAAUUUUAGCAUUGAUUUUGAAAAUAUGACUGAUCAUGCUAAAUUGUAUUUUAUUUAAGAAUAGUGAUCAUAUGAAGCCAUUUAUCAUCACAUAGUUGUUUGGCUCCUUUUUAAAUCAUAAUGAUAACAGAAAUCACCCAAAUGGCCCUGAUCAAAAGUUUACAUACCCUUGAAUGUUUGGCCUUGUUACAGACACACAAGGUGACACACACAGGUUUAAAUGGCAAUUAAAGGUUAAUUUCCCACACCUGUGGCUUUUUAAAUUGCAAUUAGUGUCUGUGUAUAAAUAGUCAAUGAGUUUGUUAGCUCUGAGCAGGCUACCUGUGGGUUUUUCUUUGUAUCCCGAACAAUUCUUCUGGCAUUUGUGGCUGAAACCUUUCUUGGUCUACCUGCACUUGGCUUGGUAUCAAGAGAUCCCCGAAUUUUCCACUUCUUAUUAAGUGAUUGAACAGUACUGACUGGCAUUUUCAAGGAUUUGGAUAUCUUUUUAUAUCCUUUUCCAUCUUUAUAAAGGUCCAUAACCUUGUUACGCAGGUCUUUUGACAGUUCUUUUCUGCUCCCCAUGGCUCAGUAUCUAGCCUGCUCAGUGCAUCCACGUGAGAGCUAACAAACUCAUUGACUAUUUAUAC